rnacentral:rRNA from 1 species
GGACCGUGGGAGACGACCACGUUGAUAGGCCAUAGGUGUAAAGGCAGCAAUGUCAUAGCCGAGUGGUACUAAUAAUCCGUAAAGCUUGAUGC